UACGAAGGGGGCUAGCGUUGCUCGGAAUCACUGGGCGUAAAGGGUGCGUAGGCGGGUCUUUAAGUCGGGGGUGAAAGCCCAGGGCUCAACCCUGGAAUUGCCUUCGAUACUGGAUAUCUAGAGUAUGGGAGAGGUGUGUGGAACUCCGAGUGUAGAGGUGAAAAUUCGUAGAUAUUCGGAAGAACACCAGUGGCGAAGGCGACACACUGGCCCAUUACUAGAC
rnacentral:rRNA from 1 species